AUGCUGGCAGCAACCCAUAUCAACCAUCAGUACCAGUCAAAGAGGUACUUUAGGGUACUUUGAUGAGAACGGCAUCAAAAAAAAACCAGAAAGUCCAGUUGCCUUCAGAAAAAGCACCUUUGGGACAACCAUGAUCUGGAUGACUGAGAAGAACUCUGAUUCAUACACAUGUGAUUCUGUUGCCAGUCUAUCAACAGCCUGGAGACACAUCUGUGCAUCAAUAGAACAACCAAUAAACAAUGAAGUAUUCCAGUGUCAAUGAACAGUGAAGUUGUCAUCAAUGUAGGAAAGAAAAUUCCUACCAUUUUCUUCUGUUUAUGUGCAAUAUAUUGCAAGUUAUAAGUAAAUUGAAUCAGAAUGCAGAGAGAAACAUUGGAAAAAGUCACAAAUCAUUAAACAUUAGGGUAACAAUCAGUGAGUUAUAAAUAAAUAAUGUUUAUUUUUGAGUUUUAUACCAAGGUCAAACAUUUUAGAAGUCCUCUGAUAUCUUAGUAUGCUAUCAUUUGAAAAUAAACUUUCAAACAAACUGUCAUCCACUAAGCUUGCUUUCAAAAUUGAUUCCUGAUGUAUUGCAUGUACCUUGACCGGGCACAAUCUUUCUCAUGUGUCUGUCUGUCUGUCUGUCUGUCUGUCUGUCUGUCUUUCUACUGGCCGGUCUGCCUCUCUGUAUCUCCCACACAGAUUUGAAGUGCUACAUUAACAAAGUACCAUCUGUUCUAAGGGAAAAAAAAUAGUAGAAAAAAUAAAACAAAACACAAUUUUAGUAUUCAUAUGGCAAAAUGGUAGUAAAAAGAAUGUUUUUAUACAACUUUUUGUUUGUUUGAUAGCUUCUAUUCUACUAUUCCUGAUCUGCAAAUUCCAUAUCCUGGUUUUUUUUCUUCCUAUUUCUAUGAAUUUUUCUUUAAAAAAAACCUAAAACUCAUCCUAAUUGGCCAACUUAUUCAAUGUAUAUUUAAAUAAAGGAACGGAAUGUGGAACCAGGUGAUUCAUGUUCAAAUCACUCAGGUGCCACUUGGUGACAAUAAAUGACACAUUAUAUCUAAGAGUAGUUUACGCAGAAUAGUUGGAAGACAAAACAAUGGGCAGAAGACUACUAAAUAUGCCUUUUGAAUUGUUUGAUGAACAAUGGAAUGAAAAAUA